GCUCCUGUAGCUCAGUCGGUAGUGCGUUUCCAUGGUAAGGAAGAGGUCGCAGGUUCGAUUCCUGUCGGGUGCA
rnacentral:tRNA from 1 species